AUUGAACGCUGGCGGCAUGCCUUACACAUGCAAGUCGAACGGCAGCGGGGACUUCGGUCCGCCGGCGAGUGGCGAACGGGUGAGUAAUGUAUCGGAACGUACCAUUGAGUGGGGGAUAACGUAGCGAAAGGUACGUUAAUACCGCAUCUUCUCUCCGGAGGAAAGCAGGGGACCGCAAGGCCUGGUGCCCUUUGAGCGGCCGAUAUCAGAUUAGCUAGUUGGUGAGGUAAAGGCUCACCAAGGCGACGAUCUGUAGCGGGUCUGAGAGGAUGACCCGCCACACUGGAACUGAGACACGGUCCAGACUCCUACGGGAGGCAGCUGUGGGGAAUUUUGGACAAUGGGGUCAACCCUGAUCCAGCCAUGCCGCGUGAGUGAAGAAGGCCUUCGGGUUGUAAAGCUCUUUCGGCCGGGAAAAAAUCGCAUGGGCUAAUACCCUGUGUGGAUGAUGGUACCGGAAUAAGAAGCACCGGCUAACUACGUGCCAGCAGCCGCCGUAACAC
rnacentral:rRNA from 1 species